UUCAAGAUUCCCUAAUGUGCAUUUCACAUUACAGUUAAAAUCCCUUAAUUUGUCCUGAUGUACAUCAGCUGUGGGAUCACUGCACUAUCAUAACAAAAAAAAAUAUAAACAAAACAAAACAAAAAACCAAACCCACCAGCAACUAUGCUUGACAAAACCACAUGAAAAAAAAAAAAAGCAUGUUUGUUAAAAAUGUUUUUUUUUUACAGAACACAUUUACUAUAAGUAGUUACUUUUCAGUGAGCUAUUGACAUGACGCACAAUGCAAAGAGACUGGAUUGGUGUCUUUUCCUUGAAGAUAUGUAUAACACAAUGCGUAGACAGAUGUUCUAGACAGAUACUCAAGCCAUAAUACAUUUCAUGUCUUUACAUCCAACUGACUGCCUAAUUCCAGUUUCCACAUGAAAAUGCUUAUCACAAAAUACUCUUCAUAUCAAUACUGCCAGAGAUCAGGCCCAUUUAGCUGCCUUUUCUGACAGAUAUUCUUGGCUAUGGAGAGCCUGUUAAUAAUGAUUGAAGUAUAUGACAUUUCUCUGGAAUUAAUGAUUGACUACAAGACUCCAGUGGCUCAGUGCUUGGCAAAGGACCGUUCUCUCUAGCAGGCAAUCUUUCCCUGGGAAAUACUCAGAGGUUGCAUGAAGAUUAUCAUUAUUGUUUACAAAAUGAAAUAGUGAAUUUUAAGCAUGAUCGUUGCAAUUGCUCUGUGUUUUCAUUGUUCAGUAUUCUUCAGAUUUAUCUCCACCUCAGUGUUUAGAUUAACAUGUUAUCUUUUUCUCUUAAUUUUACUCUUUGGAAAUCACUUAUUUACAUAAAAGCUUGCAAGAAUCAGUUCUAAUAUUCCACACAGGUAAACACAAAAUAUAUAAUACACACAUAUCUGUAAAAAGUAUGAGGGUGUAAUGUGUUCAUAUAACUUCCACUGAGAAAUGGCUAUACAACGCUAUGUAUGUCCCCCCCAAAACCUACUUUCUAGAUUAAAAUUGAACAAGCAGCAUUGCCAUUGAUCCACAUGUGAAAGUCUCAUUGAAAAGAGAGAAGUAUAAGAGGACUAACGUGCUUUGUAUUAAGGUCUGUGCCUACAGUUAAG
rnacentral:lncRNA from 1 species